rnacentral:rRNA from 1 species
GACGAACGCUGGCGGCGUGCUUAACACAUGCAAGUCGAACGGUGAAGCGCCUUCCUUUUUGGUGGGUGUGGAUGAGUGGCGAACGGGUGAGUAACACGUGAGUAACCUGCCCCCUUCUUCUGGAUAACCGCAUGAAAGUGUGGCUAAUACGGGAUAUUCUGGGUCUGUCGCAUGAUGGGUCUGGGAAAGAUAUUGUUUCGGUGGGGGAUGGGCUCGCGGCCUAUCAGCUUGUUGGUGGGGUGAUGGCCUACCAAGGCGGUGACGGGUAGCCGGCCUGAGAGGGUGGACGGUCACACUGGGACUGAGACACGGCCCAGACUCCUACGGGAGGCCGCAGUGGGGAAUAUUGCACAAUGGGCGCAAGCCUGAUGCAGCGACGCCGCGUGAGGGAUGGAGGCCUUCGGGUUGUGAACCUCUUUCGCCAGUGAAGCAGGCCUGCCUCGUUUGUGGGUGGGUUGACGGUAGCUGGAUAAGAAGCGCCGGCUAACUACGUG